CCUACGGGUGGCAGCAGUGAGGAAUAUUGGUCAAUGGGCGAUAGCCUGAACCAGCCAAGUAGCGUGAAGGAUGACUGCCCUAUGGGUUGUAAACUUCUUUUAUAUGGGAAUAAAGUGCAGUAUGUAUACUGCAUUGCAUGUACAUUAUGAAUAAGGAUCGGCUAACUCCGUGCCAGCAGCAGCGGUAAUACGGAGGAUCCGAGCGUUAUCCGGAUUUAUUGGGUUUAACGGGAGCGUAGGCGGGUUGUUAAGUGCGUUGUGAAAGUUUGCGGCUCAACCGUAAACUUGCAGUUGAUACUGGCAGCCUUGAGUACAGUAGAGGUAGGCGGAAUUCGUGGUGUAGCGGUGAAAUGCUUAGAUAUCACGAAGAACUCCGAUUGCGAAGGCAGCCUGCUGGACUGUAACUGACGCUGAUGCUCGAAAGUGUGGGUAUCAAACAGGAUUAGAUACCCUUGUAGUC
rnacentral:rRNA from 1 species